rnacentral:rRNA from 1 species
AUUGAACGCUGGCGGCAGGCCUAACACAUGCAAGUCGAACGAGUGGCGGACGGGUGAGUAAUGUCUGUGAAACUGCCUGAUGGAGGGGGAUAACUACUGGAAGCGGUAGCUAAUACCGCAUACCAUCAGAUGUGCCCAGAUGGGAUUCGCUAGUUGGUGGGGUAAAGGAUCACCAAGGCGACGAUCCCUAGCUGGUCUGAGAGGAUGACCAGCCACACUGGAAUUGAGACACGAUCCAGACGCCUACGGGAGGCAGCAGUGGGGAAUAUUGCACAGUGGGCGCAAGCCUGAUGCAGCCAUGCCGCGUGUAUGAAGAGGGCCUUCGGGUUGUAAAGUACUUUCAGCGGGGAGGCGUUACCCGCAGAAGAAGCACCGGCUAACUCCGUGCCAGCCGCCGCGGUAAUAC